UACGGAGGGUGCAAGCGUUAUCCGGAUUCACUGGGUUUAAAGGGAGCGUAGGUGGCUUUGUAAGUCAGUGGUGAAAUCUUAGAGCUCAACUCUAAAACUGCCAUUGAUACUGCUUAGCUUGAAUCACGUCGAGGUGGAUGGAAUAUUACAUGUAGCGGUGAAAUGCUUAGAUAUGUAAUAGAACACCGAUUGCGAAGGCAGUUCACUAGGCGUGUAUUGACACUGAGGCUUGAAAGCGUGGGGAUCAAACAGG
rnacentral:rRNA from 1 species